AGACAAUUUUCAAAAAUGGGAUUUGUGGAUGACAAGCGGAUUGCAAUUUGGGGCUGGUCAUAUGGAGGGUACGUAACCUCAAUGGUCCUGGGAGCCGGCAGUGGCGUGUUCAAGUGCGGGAUAGCCGUGGCACCUGUCUCACGGUGGGAGUACUAUGACUCAGUGUAUACAGAACGUUACAUGGGUCUCCCAACUCCAGAAGACAACCUUGACCAUUACAGG